GAUGAAGAACGUAGCGAAAUGCGAUAAGUAGUGUGAAUUGCAGAAUUCAGUGAAUCAUCGAAUCUUUGAACGCACAUUGCGCCCCUUGGUAUUCCAUGGGGCAUGCCUGUUCGAGCGUCAUUUGUACCUUCAAGCUCUGCUUGGUGUUGGGUGUUUGUCUCGCCUCUGCGUGUAGACUCGCCUCAAAACAAUUGGCAGCCGGCGUAUUGAUUUCGGAGCGCAGUACAUCUCGCGCUUUGCACUCAUAACGACGACGUCCAAAAGUACAUUUUUACACUCUUGACCUCGGAUCAGGUAGGGAUACCCGCUGAACUUAAGCAUAUCAAUAAACGGAGGA
rnacentral:misc_RNA from 1 species